CCUACGGGUGACAGCAGUGAGGAAUAUUGGUCAAUGGGCGUAAGCCUGAACCAGCCAAGCCGCGUGAGGGAUGAAGGUUCUAUGGAUCGUAAACCUCUUUUAUAAGGGAAUAAAGUGUGGGACGCGUCCUUUUCUGUAUGUACCUUAUGAAUAAGGAUCGGCUAACUCCGUGCCAGCAGCCGCGGUAAUACGGAGGAUCCGAGCGUUAUCCGGGUUUAUUGGGUUUCAAGGGUGCGUAGGCGGGCUUUUAAGUCAGCGGUGAAAGUCUGUGGCUCAACCAUAGAAUGGCCGUUGAAACUGGGAGUCUUGAGUAUGUUUGAGGCAGGCGGAAUGCGUGGUGUAGCGGUGAAAUGCUUAGAUAUCGCGCAGAACCCCGAUUGCGAAGGCAGCCUACCAAGCCAUGACUGACGCUGAUGCACGAAAGCGUGGGGAUCGAACAGGAUUAGAUACCCCAGUAGUC
rnacentral:rRNA from 1 species